AGAUAAUGAAAUGAAUGAUGUUUCUAUUAUAUACAUGAUGUUAUCCACGAUAUAGUUAGACACAUGACUUGGGCAACCAAUUUUGGUAGAUUAGAUUCCAACCAGUUCUGGCAGAGUAUAUAUGGUUUACCAGAUAUCGUCCAUCUUUUUUUUUUUUUUUUCUGUGAGGGAAAUUUUGUCAUUUGUUAUAUUGUCACAAAUAAGCAAACUGGCAUUUUCGAGAAGAUUUUGGGAAAAAUGGCUUAAACAUAAUUUUGAGCUCAUGACAAACAAUAAUUCCUUUAAUUAGUUGGACAUCAUGCAUAACUAUCAUUGGCAUUGUAUUGGCAAUUCUCAUAUUUGAGUAUGUAUACAACAAUAAUCUGUAA
rnacentral:lncRNA from 1 species